AUGCCGCGCACGACACCGUCGAGCCCGCUGACGGCGACGCCGCCGCGCUCCCCGACGGCCGCCAGCCGCCUGGCCGUCGCCCCGGCGUCCCCGACCACCCCGCAGUGCGCCAUCCCGGCCUCGCCGCGCACGCCCCCGGCGCCGUCCAGGGCGUCCACCCCGCCGCCGACCACGCCGCGCACGCCGCGCCCGGAGAUCACGCUCAAAGAGCCGUCGUCCACGCACGAGAAGCGCGCGCCCGCGGCCGUCCGCGGCCCGCCGUCACGCGCGCUCCGCGCCAUCCGCGCGCUGCUCCGUUCCUUCCCCAUCAUCGCGCCGGCAGCGUGCCGCCCGGCGUCGGCCCUACCCAGGCGCCAUGGCAAGCCGCACGACGGCCACGCCGGCGGCCGCGCGCGCGUCACCGGCACCUUCUACGGCCACCGCCGCGCCCGCAUCGCGCUCGCCGUGCAGGAGCGGCCCGGCAGCCUCCCCACCCUGGUCCUCGAGCUCGGCGUGCUCACGGGGAAGCUCAUGCAGGAGAUCUCCGCCGGGGGCCACGUCCGCAUCGCCCUCGAGUGCGAGAAGAAGUCCAAGAAGUCGCCCGACGCCGGCGAAGGCGGCGGGAGCGUCAGCCUGCUGGAGGAGGCGAUGUGGACGGCCUACGUCAACGGCCGGCGCGUCGGGUACGCGGUCAGGCGGGAGGCCACGGACGGCGACCUCGCGGUCAUGCAGCUGCUGAGCACCGUGUCGGUCGGCGCCGGCGUGCUGCCCGGGGACGUGGUGGACGAGCCGCCCGGCGGGGCGGCGGACGCGGACGGCGAGGUGGCGUACAUGCGCGCGGGGUUCGACAGGGUCACCGGGAGCAAGGACUCGGAGUCGUUCUACAUGGUCAGCCCGGACGGGGACGGCGGCGCCGGCGCCGGCGGUGGCACGGAGCUGAGCAUUUUCUUUGUCAGGGUGUAG
rnacentral:rRNA from 1 species